UUCAAAGUCCACCAUCUAUGGAACCUAAGGAACAAAACUAUUGGAUUGAAAAAUGAUACGUUUUGUUCAAAAAAAAAAAAGGGUUGAAAGUCAAUUAGGAUAGGAUCAAGCUUAAGUCACCGAUCCAGGUCAAGGUAGGAGAAUCUGGGCCGGUUUAUGAGAGGCUUGAAGCGGAUACACGUCGAUCUUCUGGGUCAUAGGCUGGGCCGGUCAGUUCUUUUCUUUUUUUGCACACUAUAAAUAUAAAAAAAAAUUCUAUCUUUGAUUUACAUGCCUCUUCUAAAAAGAAAAAUCUCUUCCUUCAAACAGAAACCCAAAUAGACCACAUUCCAAGCCCAAUAUCUGGUCAAACCCCACCACUGUCGCUGUCAUUCCCCAUCGCCAGCAACCCCCGAUCGAUGCCACUUAGCUUCGAAAACACUUCUCUUCUUCCCCUAUUCUCAGAUCUAGGCUUUAUUUCUCACAAAUCUCCUCAAAAUAACCUAGAUCUACCCUUUAAGUUUCGAUACAAACAGUCAAAAUUUCCUUUACCCACCGUCUAAUCCUUCUACCUUUUCUUGGAUGUUAAUCUCCUCCUUCUACCCUUGCUUUUCACCGUCAUCGAUCAUUUAAAGGCCUGUUGUCAUCGCCAACCACCGUGAAUCAACCCAUGCUAUUUACUCCUCUGUUUUUGCCUUCUUUUAUUAUUUUUUUUAUUUCUUACUAUGUUGGUGCUGUUUCUCGCCAUCCUAGGGAUAUGUUUUUUGGUUUUCUUUUUUUUUUUUUUUUUUUUGGUUUUUGGAUGGUUGAUGAACUUUGCUAAGUUUUGGAUGAUUUUUAGGAUGCGUGGUGGUUCACAGAGUUUCAGGUGUCUUAGUUUUGGUUAUGGGUUGGGGAAUGGUGAUGAAGGGCUGAUGGUUGUUUGUAAUGGUGGUUUGGUGUUUUAAAUAGUGCUUAGGUGGUAUUUGCGCAGUUUAGGUUAGAUUUCGGUUGAGGUGAAAAGGCUGAAUGUUGGGUGCGUGCAGAGGCCGGCACUGGUGCUGUGAUUUUGGCUAUGUGCGGGUAGAAGGUAAUUGAGCUACCUUGCGGGCCAAUGGUGAUUGGGUUUCGAUUUCACUGAUGAACAAAAGAAGCCCCCUUUUCUUUUUUGCCUUCCCCCUUUCUUUAGAGAACCCAGCUUUCCCCCUAUAAGUUUCUGGCCUUGGAAUAAUUUUUUUUAAAUUGGUCUGGGAGACGUGUAGUAAUGGCUGGCAG
rnacentral:lncRNA from 1 species